rnacentral:rRNA from 1 species
CAGUCGCCACGGUAAUACGUAGGGUGCGAGCGUUAAUCGGAAUUACUGGGCAUAAAGCGUGCGCAGGCGGUUAUAUAAGACAGAUGUGAAAUCCCCGGGCUCAACCUGGGACCUGCAUUUGUGACUGUAUAGCUAGAGUACGGUAGAGGGGGAUGGAAUUCCGCGUGUAGCAGUGAAAUGCGUAGAGAUGUGGAGGAAUACCGAUGGCGAAGGCAGCCCCCUGGGCCAAUACUGACGCUCAUGCACGAAAGCGUGGGGAGCAAACAGGAUUAGAUACCCCCGUAGUCCCUGUCUCUUAUAC